rnacentral:rRNA from 1 species
UACGUAGGUGACCAGCGUUGUCCGGAUUUACUGGGCGUAAAGAGCGCGCAGGCGGUCGUUCAAGUCGAGUGUGAAAGCCCCCGGCUCAACUGGGGAGGGUCAUUCGAUACUGAUCGACUUGAAGGCAGGAGAGGGAAGCGGAAUUCCCGGUGUAGUGGUGAAAUUCGUAGAUAUUCGCAAGAACACCAGUGGCGAAGGCGGCUUACUGGACCGGUUCUGACGCUGAGGCGCGAAAGCGUGGGGAGCAAACAGG